CUCCGGUUGAUCCCGCCGGACCUGACUGCUAUCGGAUUGGUACUAAGCCAUGCGAGUCAUUGUAGCAAUACAAGGCGGACGACUCAGUAACACGUAGUCAACCUAACUCGUGGACGUGGAUAACCUCGGGAAACUGAGAAUAAACCACGAUAGACCAUAGUGCCUGGAAUGGCUUAUGGUCCAAACAGUUUACUGCCAUGGGAUGGGACUGCGGCCUAUCAGCUUGUUGGUGAGGUAAUGGCCCACCAAGGCGAUUACAGGUACGGGCUCUGAGAGGAGAAGCCCGGAGAUGGGUACUGAGACACGGACCCAGGCCCUAUGGGGCGCAGCAGGCGAGAAACCUUAGCAAUGUGCGAAAGCACGACUGGGUCAGUCCGAGUGAUUCCUGAUAAAGGAGUCUUUUGCUUGUCCUAAAAGCACAGGUGAAUAAGGGGUGGGCAAGUCUGGUGUCAGCCGCCGCGGUAAUACCAGCACCUCGAGUGGUCAGGACGUUUAUUGGGCCUAAAGCAUCCGUAGCCGGCUUUGCAAGUCUUCGGUUAAAUCCACCUGCUCAACAGAUGGGCUGCUGGAGAUACUACAAAGCUAGGGAGUGGGAGAGGCAGACGGUAUUCAGUGGGUAGGGGUAAAAUUCUCUGAUCCAUUGAGGACCACCAGUGGCGAAGGCGGUCUGCCAGAACACGUUCGACGGUGAGGGAUGAAAGCUGGGGGAGCAAACCGGAUUAGAUACCCGGGUAGUCCCAGCUGUAAACGAUGCAAACUCGGUGAUGCAUUGGCUUAUGGCCAAUGCAGUGCCGCAGGGAAGCCGUUAAGUUUGCCGCCUGGGAAGUACGGACGCAAGUCUGAAACUUAAAGGAAUUGGCGGGGAGCA
rnacentral:rRNA from 1 species